rnacentral:rRNA from 1 species
GACGAACGCUGGCGGCGUGCUUAACACACGCAAGUCGAGCGGUAAGGCCCUUUUGGGGGUACACGAGCGGCGAACGGGUGAGUAACACGUGGGUGACCUGCCCUCAGCUCUGGGAUAAGCCUGGGAAACUGGGUCUAAUACUGGAUAUGACCUUUCCUCGCAUGGGGGUUGGGUGGAAAGUUUUUCGGCUGGGGAUGGGCCCGCGGCCUAUCAGCUUGUUGGGUGGGGUGAUGGCCUACCAAGGCGACGACGGGUAGCCGGCCUGAGAGGGCGACCGGCCACACUGGGACUGAGACACGGCCCAGACUCCUACGGGAGGGCAGCAGUGGGGAAUAUUGCGCAAUGGGCGGAAGCCUGACGCAGCGACGCCGCGUGGGGGAUGACGGCCUCGGUUG